rnacentral:rRNA from 1 species
GAUGAACGCUGGCGGCGUGCCUAAUACAUGCCAGUCGAGCGAACGGACGAGAAGCUUGCUUCUCUGAUGUUAGCGGCGGACGGGUGAGUAACACGUGUAUAACCUACCUAUAAGACUGGGAUAACUUCGGGAAACCGGAGCUAAUACCGGAUAAUAUUUUGAACCGCAUGGUUCAAAAGUGAAAGACGGUCUUGCUGUCACUUAUAGAUGGAUCCGCGCUGCAUUAGCUAGUUGGUAAGGUAACGGCUUACCAAGGCAACGAUGCAUAGCCGACCUGAGAGGGUGAUCGGCCACACUGGAACUGAGACACGGUCCAGACUCCUACGGGAGGCAGCAGUAGGGAAUCUUCCGCAAUGGGCGAAAGCCUGACGGAGCAACGCCGCGUGAGUGAUGAAGGUCUUCGGAUCGUAAAACUCUGUUAUUAGGGAAGAACAUAUGUGUAAGUAACUGUGCACAGCGUGACGGUACCUAAUCAGAAAGCCACGGCUAACUACGUG